rnacentral:rRNA from 1 species
UAUAUGGGACAAUGGGGGCAACCCUGAUCCAGCAAUGCCGAGCGUGUGGAGAAAGCGUAGGGUGGUUAAAGCAGGUUCAAUUGGGAAGAAAAGCUUACCCUGAAGAACUGUCUGUCUUACUCGGGAAGCACCGGUUAACUCCGCAGCGGCAGCCGCGGUAAUAGGGAGGGUGCGAGCGUUAAUCGGAAUUAGUGGGUAAAAAGCGCGGGUAGGCGGCUGUGUAAGUCGGAUGUGAAAGCCCCGGUCUCAACUUGGGAAGUGCUUUAAAUACUCCACAUGGAGAGUAGGGGGGGGAGAAGUGGAAUCUCCGGGGUAGCUGUGUAGUGUAUAGAUAUGAAAGAGAACACCAGGGGGAAGGCGACUUCGGGCCCAAUAGUGACGGGAGAGGGAAAGAGGGGAGCGAAACGGAUUU